rnacentral:tRNA from 1 species
UCCCUGGUGGCUCAGAUGGUAAAGAAUCUGCCUGGAAUGCAGGAGACCUGGGUUUGAUCCCUGGGUGGGGAA